GUAAGUAUAGUUUAACAAAAAUAUUAGAUUGUGAUUCUAAAGACAGGAGUUAAAAUCUCCUUACUCACC
rnacentral:tRNA from 1 species